rnacentral:rRNA from 1 species
GAUGAACGCUGGCGGCGUGCCUAAUACAUGCAAGUCGAGCGAACAGACGAGGAGCUUGCUCCUCUGACGUUAGCGGCGGACGGGUGAGUAACACGUGGAUAACCUACCUAUAAUACUGGGAUAACUUCGGGAAACCGGAGCUAAUACCGGAUAAUAUAUUGAACCGCAUGGUUCAAUAGUGAAAGACGGUUUUGCUGUCACUUAUAGAUGGAUCCGCGCCGCAUUAGCUAGUUGGUAAGGUAACGGCUUACCAAGGCGACGAUGCGUAGCCGACCUGAGAGGGUGAUCGGCCACCCUGGAACUGAGACACGGUCCAGACUCCUACGGGAGGCAGCAGUAGGGAAUCUUCCGCAAUGGGCGAAAGCCUGACGGAGCAACGCCGCGUGAGUGAUGAAGGUCUUCGGAGCGUAAAACUCUGUUAUUAGUGAAGAACAAAUGUGUAAGUAACUAUGCACGUCUUGACGGUACCUAAUCAGAAAGCCACGGCUAACUACGUG